rnacentral:rRNA from 1 species
CUGACACUGACACUGAGGUGCGAAAGCGUGGGUAGCAAACAGGAUUAGAUACCCUGGUAGUCCACGCCGUAAACGAUGUCGACCAGCCGUUGGGUGCCUAGCGCACUUUGUGGCGAAGUUAACGCGAUAAGUCGACCGCCUGGGGAGUACGGCCGCAAGGUUAAAACUCAAAUGAAUUGACGGGGGCCCGCACAAGCGGUGGAGCAUGUGGUUUAAUUCGAUGCAACGCGAAGAACCUUACCUACUCUUGACAUCCUGCGAAUUUGGUAGAGAUACCUUAGUGCCUUCGGGAACGCAGAGACAGGUGCUGCAUGGCUGUCGUCAGCUCGUGUUGUGAAAUGUUGGGUUAAGUCCCGUAACGAGCGCAACCCUUGUCCUUAUUUGCCAGCGCGUAAUGGCGGGAACUCUAAGGAGACUGCCGGUGACAAACCGGAGGAAGGUGGGGACGACGUCAAGUCAUCAUGGCCCUUACGAGUAGGGCUACACACGUGCUACAAUGGUCGGUACAAAGGGUUGCCAACUCGCGAGAGUGAGCCAAUCCCGAAAAGCCGAUCUCAGUCCGGAUCGGAGUCUGCAACUCGACUCCGUGAAGUCGGAAUCGCUAGUAAUCGUAGAUCAGAAUGCUACGGUGAAUACGUUCCCGGGCCUUGUACACACCGCCCGUCACACCAUGGGAGUGGACUGCACCAGAAGUGGUUAGCCUAACGCAAGAGGGCGAUCACCACGGUGUGGUUCAUGACUGGGGUGAAGUCGUAACAAGGUAACCAU